rnacentral:rRNA from 1 species
CGUGGGGAGCGAACCGGAUUAGAUACCCGGGUAGUCCACGCCGUAAACGAUGGAUGCUAGCUGUGGGGGGUAUCGACCCCCUCCGUAGCGAAGCUAACGCGUUAAGCAUCCCGCCUGUGGAGUACGGCCGCAAGGCUAAAACAUAAAGGAAUUGACGGGGACCCGCACAAGUAGUGGAUCGUGUUCUUUAAUUCGAUGAUAAACGAAGAACCUUACCAGGGCUUGACAUCCCGAGAAUUUUGCCGAAAGGCGAGAGUGCUUUAUUGAACUCGGUGACAGAUCUUGCAUGGCCGUCGUCAGCUCGUGUCGUGAGAUGUUUGGUUAAGUCCAUCAACGAGCGCAACCCUUGUGAAUAGUUGUAUUUUUCUAUUCAGACUGCCCCGGCAACGGGGAGGAAGGAGGGGAUGAUGUCAGGUCAGUAUUACUCUUACAUCCUGGGCUAGAAACGUAAUACAAUGGCUGGUACAAUGCGUCGCGAAGCCGCGAGGUGAAGCAAAUCGCACCAAAGCCAGUCCCAGUUCGGAUUGGAGGCUGAAACUCGCCUCCAUGAAGUCGGAAUCGCUAGUAAUCGCAGGUCAGCAAACUGCGGUGAAUACGUUCCCGGGUCUUGUACACACCGCCCGUCAAACCAUGAAAGUGACCAACACCCGAAGUCCGAUUCGUCGGCCUAAGGUGGGGGGCAUGAUUGGGGUUAAGUCGUAACAAGGUAUCCGUAGCGGAAGCUGCGGAUG